rnacentral:rRNA from 1 species
GAUGAACGCUGGCGGCGUGCCUAAUACAUGCAAGUCGAGCGAACAGACGAGGAGCUUGCUCCUCUGACGUUAGCGGCGGACGGGUGAGUAACACGUGGAUAACCUACCUAUAAGACUGGGAUAACUUCGGGAAACCGGAGCUAAUACCGGAUAAUAUAUUGAACCGCAUGGUUCAAUAGUGAAAGACGGUUUUGCUGUCACUUAUAGAUGGAUCCGCGCCGCAUUAGCUAGUUGGUAAGGUAACGGCUUACCAAGGCGACGGUGCGUAGCCGACCUGAGAGGGUGAUCGGCCACACUGGAACUGAGACACGGCCCAGACUCCUACGGGAGGCAGCAGUAGGGAAUCUUCCGAAAUGGGCGAAAGCCUGACGGAGCAACGCCGCGUGAGUGAUGAAGGUCUUCGGAUCGUAAAACUCUGUUAUUAGGGAAGAACAAAUGUGUAAGUAACUAUGCACGUCUUGACGGUACCUAAUCAGAAAGCCACGGCUAACUACGUG